rnacentral:rRNA from 1 species
GACUAACGCUGGCGGCGUGCUUAACACAUGCAAGUCGAACGGAAAGGCCCUGCUUUUGUGGGGUGCUCGAGUGGCGAACGGGUGAGUAACACGUGAGUAACCUGCCCUUGACUUUGGGAUAACUUCAGGAAACUGGGGCUAAUACCGGAUAGGAGCUCCUGCUGCAUGGUGGGGGUUGGAAAGUUUCGGCGGUUGGGGAUGGACUCGCGGCUUAUCAGCUUGUUGGUGGGGUAGUGGCUUACCAAGGCUUUGACGGGUAGCCGGCCUGAGAGGGUGACCGGCCACAUUGGGACUGAGAUACGGCCCAGACUCCUACGGGAGGCAGCAGUGGGGAAUAUUGCACAAUGGGCGGAAGCCUGAUGCAGCAACGCCGCGUGCGGGAUGACGGCCUUCGGGUUGUAAACCGCUUUCGCCUGUGACGAAGCGUGAGUGACGGUAAUGGGUAAAGAAGCACCGGCUAACUACGUGCCAGCAGCCGCGGUGAUACGUAGGGUGCGAGCGUUGUCCGGAUUUAUUGGGCGUAAAGGGCUCGUAGGUGGUUGAUCGCGUCGGAAGUGUAAUCUUGGGGCUUAACCCUGAGCGUGCUUUCGAUACGGGUUGACUUGAGGAAGGUAGGGGAGAAUGGAAUUCCUGGUGGAGCGGUGGAAUGCGCAGAUAUCAGGAGGAACACCAGUGGCGAAGGCGGUUCUCUGGGCCUUUCCUGACGCUGAGGAGCGAAAGCGUGGGGAGCGAACAGGCUUAGAUACCCUGGUAGUCCACGCUGUAAACGGUGGGUACUAGGUGUGGGGUCCAUUCCACGGGUUCCGUGCCGUAGCUAACGCUUUAAGUACCCCGCCUGGGGAGUACGGCCGCAAGGCUAAAACUCAAAGGAAUUGACGGGGCCCCGCACAAGCGGCGGAGCAUGCGGAUUAAUUCGAUGCAACGCGUAGAACCUUACCUGGGUUUGACAUGGAUCGGGAGCGCUCAGAGAUGGGUGUGCCUCUUUUGGGGUCGGUUCACAGGUGGUGCAUGGCUGUCGUCAGCUCGUGUCGUGAGAUGUUGGGUUAAGUCCCGCAACGAGCGCAACCCUUGUUCACUGUUGCCAGCACGUUAUGGUGGGGACUCAGUGGAGACCGCCGGGGUCAACUCGGAGGAAGGUGGGGAUGACGUCAAGUCAUCAUGCCCCUUAUGUCCAGGGCUUCACGCAUGCUACAAUGGCUGGUACAGAGAGUGGCGAGCCUGUGAGGGUGAGCGAAUCUCGGAAAGCCGGUCUCAGUUCGGAUUGGGGUCUGCAACUCGACCUCAUGAAGUCGGAGUCGCUAGUAAUCGCAGAUCAGCAACGCUGCGGUGAAUACGUUCCCGGG